rnacentral:rRNA from 1 species
GCGUUGGGAGCUCUCCCNUAUGGUCGACCUGCAGGCGGCCGCGAAUUCACUAGUGAUUAGAGUUUGAUCCUGGCUCAGAUUGAACGCUGGCGGCGUGCUUAACACAUGCAAGUCGAACGUGAAAGUCCUUCGGGGCGAGUAAAGUGGCGCACGGGUGAGUAACGCGUGGAUAAUCUACCCUUAAGAUGGGGAUAACGGCUGGAAACGGUCGCUAAUACCGAAUACGCUCCCGAUUUUAUCAUUGGGGGGAAAGAUGGCCUCUGCUUGCAAGCUAUCGCUUAAGGAUGAGUCCGCGUCCCAUUAGCUAGUUGGCGGGGUAACGGCCCACCAAGGCAACGAUGGGUAGCCGGUCUGAGAGGAUGACCGGCCACGCUGGAACUGGAACACGGUCCAGACUCCUACGGGAGGCAGCAGUGGGGAAUAUUGCGCAAUGGGCGAAAGCCUGACGCAGCGACGCCGCGUGAGGGAUGAAGGUUCUCGGAUCGUAAACCUCUGUCAGGGGGGAAGAAACCCCCUCGUGUGAAUAAUGCGAGGGCUUGACGGUACCCCCAAAGGAAGCACCGGCUAACUCCGUGCCAGCAGCCGCGGUAAUACGGAGGGUGCAAGCGUUAAUCGGAAUCACUGGGCGUAAAGCGCACGUAGGCGGCUUGGUAAGUCAGGGGUGAAAUCCCACAGCCCAACUGUGGAACUGCCUUUGAUACUGCCAGGCUUGAGUACCGGAGAGGGUGGCGGAAUUCCAGGUGUAGGAGUGAAAUCCGUAGAUAUCUGGAGGAACACCGGUGGCGAAGGCGGCCACCUGGACGGUAACUGACGCUGAGGUGCGAAAGCGUGGGUAGCAAACAGGAUUAGAUACCCUNNAGUCCACGCUGUAAACGAUGGGUGCUGGGUGCUGGGAUGUAUGUCUCGGUGCCGUANCUAACGCGAUAAGCACCCCGCCUGGGGAGUACGGUCGCAAGGCUGAAACUCAAAGAANNUGACGGGGGCCCGCACAGCGGUGGA